CAUUAUUUUAUGAAUAUUUGAAUAUAAUAAUUAACUCCUUGUCCUUGUUGAAAUCGAUUUAUUAAUAUACCAGCCUAGUCACGUAAUUACAUGGAAUUAUUGCAUGUGACAUUCAUUGCUAUCGCUCUAAAAUCUAAACCGUAUUAAUUUUUACACAUUUUUUCCUUUAACCUUGUAAGCUUACAUCUACUGACAAUGUAAGUAGAGGACAAGAGUAAAGACAAGGACAAAGAUGAAAAAUGAGUUUUCUACAUAAUAAUCCAAUUUUUUAUUCGGCCCGACGCUUGAGUUAAGUUAUUUAACAUUUUAAAUUUGUCUUUUGAGGUUAUGUUACCGUACCAUCAGACGUCAAAAGCUUCUUUUUAGCUUUAGUUAAAUGAAAAAGUAUGGAUAUACAACAGAGUAAUCACGCCGAGAGGAGAAAAUGGAUCCAUUCAUACAGGAACACUCAUAUCAAGGUUAUGAAAACAUCCCUUUCCAUUUCAUUCAACCAGUUUUGACUACACAAUAACAUUAUUCCUAACUAUGCAAAAAUCAGUAUAAAAAAUCAAAACUCCCCUGCUCAAAAAUUAAAAAACAAGCUCAGAAACUGUACAUUAAAAACAGCAUUCAACAUUUGUACAAACAGAAAGAUAACCUCAACCAGAAAGCUUACCAUCUCCAUUUAAAACUGAGUUCAGAACUACAUCAUAUAGAAUUUAAUGAAAUAUUAUCAUACAAUCAAGAAAUUAUAGAUUCUAUGAAAAACAAGUUGAAAGCCAAACACAACCUUAAACUAACUCAACUUAUGAAUACCCAGAACCCAACUGUAACAUCCACACAUAAUUUUCACAAAAGAACAAUCAACAACACUGAAAUAGAAUUCACAAAAACAGAAAUGAAAUUACUAGACAAAGGAUUGAAACACAACAUCAAAACAAACAAUCCUAAUUCACAAUCCCAAUUAUUCAAUACCAUAAUAGACACAGAGACUGCAAUACAAAACACUACCCUAACUGACCAAGAAUAGCCUACUUGAGACAGGACAUAACAAGAAACAGAAACAAUUUCAAGCCCUCAGAAAAAACCAACCCAGAA